rnacentral:rRNA from 1 species
AACGAACGCUGGCGGCAGGCUUAACACAUGCAAGUCGAACGCCCCGCAAGGGGAGUGGCAGACGGGUGAGUAACGCGUGGGAACAUACCCUUUUCUACGGAAUAGCUCUGGGAAACUGGAAUUAAUACCGUAUACGCCCUACGGGGGAAAGAUUUAUCGGGGAAGGAUUGGCCCGCGUUGGAUUAGCUAGUUGGUGGGGUAAAGGCCUACCAAGGCGACGAUCCAUAGCUGGUCUGAGAGGAUGAUCAGCCACAUUGGGACUGAGACACGGCCCAAACUCCUACGGGAGGCAGCAGUGGGGAAUAUUGGACAAUGGGCGCAAGCCUGAUCCAGCCAUGCCGCGUGAGUGAUGAAGGCCUUAGGGUUGUAAAGCUCUUUCACCGAUGAAGAUAAUGACGGUAGUCGGAGAAGAAGCCCCGGCUAACUUCGUGCCAGCCGCCGCCGUAA